rnacentral:misc_RNA from 1 species
AACGCACAUUGCGCCCGCCAGUAUUCUGGCGGGCAUGCCUGUCCGAGCGUCAUUUCAACCCUCAGGGCCCGUCCGCGGGACCUGGCGUUGGGGAUCGGCUGCCCCUGGCGGCUGCCGGCCCUGAAAUACAGUGGCGGUCACGUCGCGACCUCCCCUGCGUAGUAGCGAUACCUCGCAGCCGGAUAGCGGCGCGGCCACGCCGUAAAACCCCCCACUUUCGCAAGGUUGACCUCGGAUCAGGUAGGAAUACCCGCUGAACUUAA